GUCGAUGAGCUAUGGAGAUGGUUCAACUUCCAGAGGCUUCCUCAUAAAUUUUUGGAAUUUUUGAGACACAGAUAAACUUCGGGUGAUCGAGAUCAACUAUUUUCCUGCAUCCAGCAGCCACAAUAGUCGACGGUGUACUGCUACAGGAGGAGACAUUUUUCAGAAUAACCUGUCCCUUUCCUCUCAGGUUAUGAAAAGAUUACUUAAUUGUAUUAUUAUUCUCUAAAUUUGUAAUUUAGGACUCCGCAUGUGCUAGUAGUAGCAUUAAGCCUAUCAGAGACUGUAUGAAUUCAAGUUUUCAUAUUAAUAAAUGAAAAGAAAAAUUUUUUAUGAGUUUUAAA